CAGGUAGGGAUACCCGCUGAACUUAAGCAUAUCAAUAAGCGGAGGA
rnacentral:rRNA from 6 species